UUUUCGUGUUGGUUCAGUUGGU
rnacentral:siRNA from 1 species